rnacentral:rRNA from 1 species
UAUGAAGGGGGCUAGCGUUGCUCGGAAUCACUGGGCGUAAAGCGCACGUAGGCGGGUUCUUAAGUCAGGGGUGAAAUCCUGGAGCUCAACUCCAGAACUGCCUUUGAUACUGGGAAUCUCGAGUCCGGGAGAGGUGAGUGGAACUGCGAGUGUAGAGGUGAAAUUCGUAGAUAUUCGCAAGAACACCAGUGGCGAAGGCGGCUCACUGGCCCGGUACUGACGCUGAGGUGCGAAAGCGUGGGGAGCAAACAGG